CUAGGUACAUACCUAACAUCCUCUAAAUAACAAUAAAAAGGUAUUCCACUGCUCAAAGAAUGCACACAAUUUAACAAGGGAAAGAACCCUAAAUAACAGAAAAGUCACACCUGAUCUAAGAGGGAGCAAGUAUAAAAGAAGCUUAACUCAUCUCAGACAUCAGAACUUAGGCAGUGAAAAACAUAAUUGAGCUUUCAUCUAUAAAUAAGACAAUGACCCCAGAUCAUUCGCGCAGUUUCCCUGUAAUCUCUGUUACUUGCCCUGAGACUAGCUUUUCCUGAGACGUCCUCAUUGGAUGAAUAAGCUCUCGUGGCUCAUCAGGAACACAUCCACAAAGCUGCCUUGCUGUCGGGAUGGGAAUGCAUCCAUCCCCACUCUCCCUGCUGGCCCUCUUGUGAGCAAUAGUGUACAUUGGCAAGCUGAAUUUACAGCUGCAGUCGGUCGGUGAGCCUAAAAUAAAACAAAACCAAAAUCCAGAGGGCGAAAGAGCAGUCAGAUUGUAAUUAGUGCACAGAGAAAACUGAAUAAUCAAAGCACAAAGCAGACAGAUUAGCACACCCUGACCAACAAGAGCUACAGUAACAUAUCAAGUACUGAAUGAUAGUGUUCAGGGUUUUUAAUUUUAAAAUUACAUUUGUUUACUCUGUGUGUGCUUAUGUAUAUAUGUACAUGUGUGACUGUGUGUGCAUGUGUAUACAUGCAUGUGUGUAUAUGUGCAUAUGUGUGUGCUUGUGUGUGUGUAAAUGUGUAUGCAUAUGUAUACAUGCAUGUGUGCAUAUGUGCAUGUGUGCAUGGUGUGUGUGUGUGUGUGUGUAGAUCAGAAAAUAACUUGUGGGACCCAGUCCCAGAGAACUAAUUCAGGUAACUGGUCUCUGAAGCAAUCACCUUUACCUGCUGAGACAAACUGUGGCCCCGUUAUCUUAGUUUUACGAUAAUAGGCUGGCCUACCUUGACAAACUUCAGGAAGGAGUCCAACCUCCUGCUUAAUGAGAUGUUUUCAGUCUGUGUAUAAACACAAUGUAUGACAUCACUCAGAACUGACUAUGAGAAAAAUAAAAUGUUUGGUAUGUAUAAUUUUUAUUGGUAGAAAAACCAUGAUCUAUCUAACAUGGAAGGCCUUUGCCAGAGCAGUGAGAAAAUGAACCAACAUUCAUGUAAGCUCAUGUGGAUCAGCUAACGGCUGGCAGAAAAGGGAGUUGAAUUUCCCCAUGAAAUAAAACAAAUGUUGCAUGCAGAAACAUUAUUUUUCUUAUUUCUUGGAAUCAACACCUGACAAUAACGGACUUCAGAAAGGAAGGGUUUCUUUUGGCUUACAGUUCACAAAAGGAUACAGUUCCCCAUGGUAAGGAAAGCAUGAUGCUCCAAGUGGUCUCCGUGUCUUUACAGUCAGGAAGCAUAGAAUGAACAGGAAGUGGAGUCUGGCUAUAAAACCUCAAGGCCUCCCCCAAAGUGACCCAUUUCCUCCAGCAAGGCUCCACUAAGCCCUCCUAAAAAUCUCACAACAUUCUCACACCACAAUCUGGGAAACAUGUGGUCAAAUAUAUAAGCCAAUGGAGAUACUUCGCCUUUAAACUAAAACAAAUAAGAUUGCUUCAAAAAGAAAAGAAAAGAAAAGAAAAAGGACACAAACACAUUUAUUUGUUUAAUGUCAUUAGCGGCAUCUAAACAACAGUCAUGGUUCCACAUGGGACUUUUAGCCAAGCAUGGAAAGGGAUCUGACUUAGAAUCUACCCUACACAAUAUGUGAGUUAGUUCCUCAUACAACGUUCUGGAACCCAUCCUAAAAAUAAAAGAAUAAGUAGCAUCAUUUUUGUUAAUGUUAUGACAACAUAAAUGAGUGGUAUAUAUACAAUCAAAUUGCAUAAUGUAAUCUUGGAUGAUACAGUAUGUAUACAGCCAUGAGAAGAUCUGAUGUCCGCCUGCACACCCCUGCAUGCUUGGAAAUAAAUCCUCGUUUCUUCUAGGCACAAAUUUGUAGAGGAAAGUUACAUUUAAUCAUGUAUAGAUGAAAAAGAAUUAUUACUCACAAGCAACAGGAGCCACCUAUAGUGCCCAUGACAGAAGCUGAAAGGAGAUGGCUUGCCUGGAAUUCUAAGCAAUUGUUGCAUGCUGGUCCCUGGACAAUAAUAUAAAGCUGGCAAAGUUUGUAUUCAAGAUGACCUUCAACCUCUAAUUUUUUUUAACUUUUCUGACCUGAUGACUCUGCUCCCAGGCAUCCAGAGAUUUGGAGAUGUGCACUGAGUAUAAGGAAGAAAAAAAAAGCAACUCUCUGAUAUGGAGCAAGCUAAAGCUCUUCCUCCCUUCAAGCCAUGUAACAGUGUGGAUCGGAGAUAAUUUCCCUGCACUUAGCCUCCUAGGUGUAAAUUUAGACUAAUAGUGACUCUCCUGUUAGGGGAAUCACACAGGCUACAUGAAAGCAUGCUCAGCAAUCUAUAUAACAUUCAAUAGAUAAUUGAUACUGCUCAAAAUUGCCUUAAAAUUGGGGACCCUAAAGCCCACGUUACCCUGAAAUACCUGACUCAAACCACUUUGGUUUCUUUAUCCAGUUCCCCAUCUUGUCUUACAAUGAUCAGAACUGAACACAACCUGACUAUUAUCCAAACUUAUUAACUUUCAGAUAAAAUUCCUUGUAUAUGUAUAAACACCUUACUGUUUUGUCUUUCUAAGAAGGUGUCUGUCUUUCUCUUAGCAGUUAUGUAUUUCAAAUUUACAACAAAGCAGCAAAUUUACCUCUCCUAACAGCGUUUUGGGGUUUUUCUAACACACACACACACACACACACACACACACACACACACACACACACACACACCUCUAAGUUAUUCUACAUUCCUUCUAUAAACCAGCUCUAAAGGCCUAAGGGCCACAUGAUCAAAAUGUUGAGAACAAUGACUACACUUUGCUGUAGAUUUUCUGUACUAGUUACUUUUUUCCUUGCUGGGAAAAAGCAAUUUAAUGAAGAAAUGGUUUAUUUGAGAUCAAGGUUUGAAGAUGCUUCAAUCACAGGAGAGCAGUCAUGAUGCAGCCGUGUGGGAGAACCAACCAUUUUGCAUCUGAAUUCAGGAAACAGUUUUAAAAAAUGUUAGUGAUCACGUUACUCGUUGACUUAUAUUCAGUCUGGGAACCCAAUCCUUGGCAUGCCAUUACUCACAGUUAGGAUGGCCCUUGGCAUAUCAGUUAACCUAGAACUUCCUUCACAAACAUUCUCUGAUCAGAGACUUGUUUCUCAGAUGAGUCUAAACCCCAUCAAGUUGACAAUCAUUAUCAAGCAUCACAUUAGCGAGUUGUCAACCCAGCUUCUCUGGAGGCUAUCUGGAAUAAAUCCUUUUGUUAUAUCACCUGACUGUUAACCCCCGCCAAGGUACCUCAGGAAUCAGGAAGUGUUAUCCCAGGAAGAAAGUAUCUAUAUCUCAAUCUUAAAUUUCCAAAAUGUAAAGGAUGCAAAUGUGAUCUCUAGCUAAAUGUACGAGUCUGACAUUUUAAUUAAGAGAAACCAAGACACAAAAAUAGCUUUGUAUCAAAUACACUGAAAGUUGGACUUAGGUACUAGAUGACUUAUGUUGCCAUAGUGAUUGUUAAAACUAUAUUUAUAAAAGAAACCAAGCGUAACCAUUUCAACAAUUUGAGAAAGGCAUACUUUAAGAGGUAAAAUUAAAAUUAGGGAAAACGAGACCAUUUAUAAUGGGCCAUUAUGAGACUGAAUGGCAAUGAUUAUUGGUUCUGCUUAAUAAAACUGUCACCUAACACAAAAUAGAUAUUAAGCUAAAUUGCAUCACAUUAUCAUUCUAUCUGGCCACAAAAUUCAACACAAAGCCCUAAAAACAUAAAACUGCAGAAAACCAGACCAAUAUCAACCUUUUCUGCUUCCCAAUAGCUUUAAUUAAUGGAGGAAAUUGUGUGAAAAAUGAAAAGUACAUGUUAUGCAAUGCAGCUUUUCAUAAGAACAAAUGACCAAGUAUAUCUUUAUUUACAGUGUUAAUAGCAAUGUAGCUUCACAAGGAUACUCACCAAGCCAAGCCAAUAUUGACCUUUCUUGAAUGUUCUACCUACGAUCUAGCCUUACUCCCUAACCUCUGCACUCUGGCCAGUCUCUAAUGUACCUGCUGCUAGUCAAGCCACACAGUAGAGGAACAGUUUUGACUUAUCUCUCUCUCCAAAUGGGUGGUUUUUUUGGACUUGUAAAAUCAAAACCACACAUUAUAGGAUUUCAUGUGUGAAAUACAAAUUUGUAGAUAGUUUCCUAAAUAUACAGGGUCAGAAAUUCUAAGCACAGACCUGUCAGUCUGAAUGUGGUUGCUCAUCAGAAAAGGGAUUUGUUUUGUUUUUGUUUUAUACAACGGUUUUAGAAUCAUUAUAUCUGAAUUGCCUAUAAUUGGUAAAGAUGAUCUAUUGGUGAUUGUUAAAUUUAACGUUUGCUUGGAUUACGUUCAGCCUAUUAUUGUAAAUAUUUAUGAGACUAAACUAUGUAGCGAUUGGAGACUAAGUAGUAGGCUUGUGAGAAGGCAAACAUUCUUUCUCUUAUACAUCUUGUAAUCUAGUGAGGGCAACUUCACCAUUGGGAUUUCUAUGUCAGUAAUAUAGGUUUAUUUCUGGAAAGUAAAAAGAACCCUUCUUUUAUUAGCCCUUCCUUAUUACUGUUUUUUGAGACAACAACUCAUGUAGCCCAUAUUAAACUUGGACUCACUAUUUACCUAAGAAUGGCAUUGAACUUCCUAUCUCCCCACCCCCUCACCCCACCCCACCCCCCAUCGCCCGAUUCUGGAAGCCUGGGAUUACAGACAUGAACUAUCAUACUUGACUUAUGCAAUAAAUCAAUUUAUUCGAUCGAUAACUGGAAUGGAAUACUGGGUUUCCUAAAUGCUAACUAUUGAGCUACAUCCCCAAGCCCUCAAAAUGAAAAAUUUCAUCAUCAAAUACGUGGAUCUAGUCAUUGAAACAAAAGUAUAAUAGAACACAUAUAGAGUACAAAAGACAAAGGCAAAGAGAAACUGAGUGAGUUGGGGAGGUGAAGCAUGUAAGACAUAGGAGAGAGGAAGAAACAAAACACCAUGAAUAUUAUACGUUUUGAAGGUAGAGAGAAAAUAACCCCAGAAGUUCUGACACAUCGAACCAGAAUAAUGGUGAAAAUAACAGUGUUGAAAAGGGAGAAACACUUUGAAAUAAUGAUGAAAAAAAUUAUUCAACUGAAAAUGAGUUCUCAUAUUUAGAUCAUUUCAUAAAUAAAACAAGGCAAAUUAUAUUUAGCUGGUCAUUUUGUAGCAGAAAAGGCAGACUAUCAAGGACCAAGGGAAGCUUUUGGAGUCAAACAGAGAUGAAAGCCUAUCUAAAAGGGAGCAAUUAAGCUGGUAGCAGACUUCAUCACCAACAGAAAAGCUCAGAAGAGAGGGAAAGGUAAGUUCAAAUCACAGUUAAAUUUUAGAAAGAAUGUCGGUGGUAUACCAGAUGUCUCCUUGACCCGUACAUGUGCAUCGUCCCAUAGCCAUAUCCAUAUACCAUGUCUUCAAACAUGGCAUGUGAAGAUAAAGCUUUUAGAGAGAAUGAAACAAAAGUUUAACUACGUGUAGUGAUAGGCUUAAGUAUCGUCAUGUCAAGGAAAUAAGGUGUAUAUUUGAUUAGAAAACAGAAGAAAGGAAGGUGGUUAAAUAGGAAAUGGGGUUCAAAGCAACCAUUACAUGGUUAAAUCUGUCCUAAAUAAAUUUCAGGUCAGAUAACAAUCACACUAGUAAUGCAAUUUACUAUAUUUAAAUUAAAACUGUAGCUGAAGACCAGAAAGGUGGCUUUAUGGGAAGGAGUGCUUGCUUGAAUAUUAAGCAGGAGGCCUGAAUUCACAUUCCAGAACUGUCCUCAGUGGCCACGGGUAUUGUGUAAGAAAUAUCAAAUAUGAAUCUUUUUCACCUUAUACCAUACAACUUGGGUUUAGAUCAAGGAAUUUAAAUCUUUAAUCUCUCUCAUCUUGUAAAGACUUUUAUGCAGAUGUUCUAACCCCCUCCUUCCCCCCCUCCACACACACCUAGUAAAAUCUUUGUUUGCACAAAGACCCCUGCUGCUUUCCAGAAUUUGAUGGUCAAGAGCAGUGACUCUUUUCUCUUGGGAACAAUGACCCCUUUCCCCUUCUUCCUUUGUUUCUUGAGCCAAUUCUUUCCUGACUAACCAAAUGAAUAAGACUUAGAGGUCUGUCUGGAACACCAUCCAAUGAGGGGAAAGACAUGGUCACCCCCCAGUUAUAAUAAACACCAAAUGCACUUCCUGUCUUUGUGCAUUUGCUCUUCUGAAAAGUUAAGACUUGAUCUCCUCAUAUUUCUAACACCUUUAACCCCAGCAGGGUGGGAGGUGGAGAGAGGAAGAUUUUUGGAGUUUACUCGACACCAGGCUAGCUCCAGGUUCAAUGAGAGAUCCAAGGAGUUCACAAUAGUUAAAGUGAUCAAUCAGGAUACUCGAUAUCCUCCUUUGGCUUCUGCAAGUGCACAGGCUCUCUGGGACACACACACACACACACACACACACACACACACCACCAUGCACAAGUACCACAUGGGCAAACAUACACUCUCUCUAACACACACUGACAUAAAACCACAAAUAAAUGAUACAGUAUGUAAUUUCUUUCUUGAAGAGAAUUAUAAAAAUAGAUCGCCAACGUGGAACUUUAUUUUACAGCUUAAACUAAUUUGGGAAGCUAUCAAGAGGUACUUGAAUUAAAAUUAACAACAGAAUCAAAAUCAGUUCCUUUUUUUUCUAUAUCAUCAAUUUAAUAGCAAUUUACAUACUCUUGUUAUCAAAACAUAUCGUAUUUUUCUUUAAAAAGAUUUAGUAGUUUUUCUUCUGAGGAUUGUUUUUGUGUUGUUUUUUAAGCACCAGUCAAAUUUCAGUAUCUGCUUUUGAAGACGUAAUUACUAAAUCAUUAGGUCUUCAAAAAGAAUUAAUGUUCUUAUCGUAAAACUUUCAUUGUUAAAGAUGGAUAUUUUCUGAGGAAUGGAUAUUAGCAUGUUUUAUAAUAGUGUUGCCAAGGAGAAGUAGCUGUAUGUGGCAGAACAAAGCAACCUGCUUAUUAUGUACAUCUGGAGAUUUCUUGUGAGGUUGGAUUGGUUAGCUAGAGAUCAAUAAUUCCCAUUUAUAUUGCAGCUAUACAGCUAUCCUUUAAAACUUCAUAUAGAUUUUUCCAUUUUUGUUUUUCUGCUUAGUAAUACUGGGUUUCCUUCAGAAGGAAAACAAAACAACUUUUGAGCAAAUCCAGCAGGCCCUGAUGUAUGUAGGUAAACUCAGUGUUUCUACCUCUCUGUAAAUGUUUGGGCUACUUCAUAAGACUAUUUUGAAACACUGAAACCCAAGAGGUCAUCAACACUUUCAUGCUAAAUGAGCAAGACUGAUAAGCAUCUCUGUAACUUCAAUGUUUUCAAAUCCUAUUUUAAAUGAUGGUUCUUAAACUCUUGAAGCUCCCUUCUAGUCCACCACUUGCUAGAAGUAGUGGAAAAGAAAGGAUAUGUGGGGAGUGGACCUAUUUAGAAAUGUUCUUUGGAGCAACUCCAGUCUGUGUUGUCUGGAAAUCUGCCAUUCAGUUCACAGGUUAGGGGCAGCUUGGUCUACUGGCAAACACUCCACAGUUAGACCAGCAGUCCAGUUCAGUAGAGUCAGGAUGGCAAACAAGAAUCAGCAAAGGUGGCUUUACCUAUUAGAGACAGACAGGCCUCAGCCUCAGCACAGGCAGCAGGAGGGACCGGGGCCAACAGGAAUGAAAAGAACAACAGUCCUUGGCUGUGCUUCUCGCAGUGAAGAUGCAAGACCAACGAGCUUUGCAUAGCUAGCUAGCUCUAUAAGCAAGUCUAGCUCAGUCUCUGUCACUGUCCAUCGAGUCCUAGUUAUACCCUCCAAACAUCACGUGACUUCCAUAGGUCUUACCUCAGCAUGUUUCUUGCUGCAGUGCAUUUAUCUGUCUUAGCUCCCAUCAUUCUGCCAAUCAGCCUGAGUCCAAAGAAGUGGCAAGAGACUGCAGCACACCAUCAGAAGUUUUUGAUGCAUUUCUUUCUGUGGGAUCCUGACCAAUCCAGUUCCACUACACUAUGCAAGGUGGACCAAUACAUGUAUGUCUUAUCUUAGGGAGGAAUCCUUCAUCAUGUGUCCUUUCACGUGCUUGCUUUAGCAGAACAUCCUUUCAUCUGUGUCUGCUUCAGCUAAACUUUCCUUCAUACCCUGGCCCCAGCAAAACACCAUCCAACCAACUUUCCAAAGAACAUUUACGUUUCCACUUCAUGCCUCAAUUAGGCAUUUAUGUAAAACAUUACUGCUUGUAGGGCUAGGAGAGGGGUGAGACUAUAAAGCACUUGCUGUGAAAGUGAGCAGACCAGAGACUGAAACCCCAGAGUCCAGGUACAAGGGAAGGGGAUAUAGCAGCCCACCUGUAAUACCAUCUUCAGAAGCCUAAGAUUCCAUAACAAGAUGGCUAGGGGACAGUAUUAUCAGUGAGAAAUGUGUUUGACUGAGAUGGCCUGUCUUCAUAAGAAGAAAGAGUACUAAAAAGUUCCCAACAUCAACACGUCAACAUUGAGUCUUUACAUGUACUUACAAGUACAUGUGCUCACACAUAUGUAAAUACACAUCCAUACAUCACACACACACACAAAUGAAAUGGAAAAAAAGUUAUUGUUAAAAUCAUGCCCCCUGCCCUGAACUCUAUAUCCUAGGAAUUGGGCUGAGCUUCCCUCCCCACAGCUCCUCUGGCCCUUGUACAACGCAGCCAUCUUUGCUACACCAGUCCCUUGGUCUCUUCAGCUCUCCCUCCUGGUCUCUCUCCUCAGACUGUCUGGAUCAGUCUGACCAUGUUCACUCUGUACUCUCCCAGAUGUGUAUUCAAGGCCUCUGCCUGAUUUCUUCCUUAUGUUUAUAAUGGAAUCCUCAACCUCUUACUAAUGUCCUCCCUUUUUCUUUUUCUUUUCCUCUGGAAAGAGAUGAAUACAGAGAAAUGCUAGGAACAUGUUAAAAUAUAUAUAUAAAACGAUUGAGAAAAAGUUGACAGAGCGAGGGGACCUAUACUAAUUCUGCUCAUCUAUUUGAUCAUUUUUCAUUAAUUAAUUGUUGAGGUGUGGUGGCAUAUGCCUUUAACCCCAGCACUUGGGAGGCUGAAACAGGCAGAUCUCUGUGGCUUUGGGGUGUUACAGAGAGAAACCUUGUGUUGAAAAACAAAAAAAACAAAAAUUAAUUAACUGAUUAAUUUCCUUAACUACGAAAAUCUGGGCAAUUUAAUUUUAGAAGGUUAAAGUUUGGAAUAAGUCUUCAGAAGCCAUUUUCUUCAGAUUUGAAAAAUGCCAUGUGGUUGUUUCCCCAUUCCACCUUACAUUUGUGAGGUUUGAAUUUUCCAAAGUCCUAAAGUAAGGGUUAGUAUAUUCAUACUUUAAAAGAAAACGUCAGCUAUGAUAACCAACCAUAGUCAAUCAGCAGUUAGAGAUUGGUAGUGUGACUUUUUAAACUAUAUAGGAAACUACAAUAUUCCAAAUGUAACAGCAAAGAGUUUACAAUGCACUGGGAAGACAGUUUACAAAGGAGCAAAUUUAUUUUUAGCAUCAACUUAGAUCCUACCACAGCAUGGCAUUUUCUAUUUGGUGUAAAAUAUAUUGCACUGAAUGAACAAGAGGUUCAUAGCAGCCUUAUUUAUAAGAGCCAGAAACUGAUAAGAAUCCAGAGGAAUGGAUGCUGAAAACGUGGUGCAUUUAUAUAAUGGGGUACUACUCAGCUACUAAAAACAAUGAAUUUAUGAAAUUCUUAGACAAAUGGAUGAAUCUGGAGGAUGUCAUCCUGAGUGAGGUAACCCAAUAACAAAAGAACACAUAUGAUAUAUGUACUCACUGACAAGUGGAUAUUAGCCCAGAAGCUCAGAAUACUCAAGAUAUAGUUCACA
rnacentral:lncRNA from 1 species